AUUGAACGCUGGCGGCGUGCCUAACACAUGCAAGUCGAACGGUGAAGGAAAGCUUGCUUUCCGGAACAGUGGCGCACGGGUGAGUAACGCGUGGAUGAUCUACCCAUUAGUUCGGGACAACAGUUGGAAACGACUGCUAAUACCGGAUGUAGUACCAUUUCAAAGUUGGUAUUAAAGGCGGCCUCUGAAUAUGCUGUCGCUAGUGGAUGAGUCCGCGUCUCAUUAGGUAGACGGUGGGGUAACGGCCCACCGUGCCGACGAUGAGUAGCCGACCUGAGAGGGUAAUCGGCCACACUGGGACUGGAACACGGCCCAGACUCCUACGGGAGGCAGCAGUGGGGAAUAUUGCGCAAUGGGCGAAAGCCUGACGCAGCGACGCCGCGUGAGGGAUGAAGGUUUUCGGAUCGUAAACCUCUGUCAGAAGGGAAGAAGUGCAUGGGGAGUAAUAUGUCCCAUGUUUGACGGUACCUUCAAAGGAAGCACCGGCUAACUCCGUGCCAGCCGCCGCGGUAAAAC
rnacentral:rRNA from 1 species